GUCUUGUUCACUCAGUCAAGAGUAACACUACAGGGACGAUUACCCAUGACUUGGAUUUCACCCUUAUGAUCAUAUGAAGAAGUAAUCACGACAGUCAUGCAAGUAUAUUCACUCUUUUUGAAAUUUUUAGGUACGAGUUGAAACAAUCAAGUGCGGUUUAGUACUGCCGCCAAAUCCGUCUUGGGCAAAGAAAUUCUGAUUCAGCAAUUGUUACCACAAUCAGGAUCCAUCUUAAUUCUUCGGACUUCUUCUGAGCAAGAAUGACAAGUUCGAGCGUUGGUACUUAGCUUGGUUCAGGGAUAGAUAAUAGGCCAUUACGAAGAAUCAAAGUAUGGAUAUUCAAGCCUGGAAAUUCAAAGCUUUCCAUUUGUUUCGAUGCUUGAAAAGAAUUUGGAGCACGACAAUGAUUGUAAAAGGAGAGUAAAACAAAAUCACGAGAAAGUCAUUGAAAUCAAAGUUGGAACCAAUCUUGAUAUGAAAAAGGGAAGAAAAAAGCCGGUUUGUUUUUCUCUAUUGCUAUUUUUAGAUUUUUUUGGUCUUAUUUCUUGUUGUUUUCAAUAUUAUUUAGUUGUUUUAUAUUUACUAUCUUUUUUUUUAUUAAGCAAAAGAUAAAUUGUCCAUUGAUA